AACGAACGCUGGCGGCAGGCUUAACACAUGCAAGUCGAGCGCCCCGCAAGGGGAGCGGCAGACGGGUGAGUAACGCGUGGGAAUCUACCCAUCUCUAAGGAAUAACGCCUGGAAACGUGUGCUAAUACCGUGUACGUCCUCCGGGAGAAAGAUUUAUCGGAGAUGGAUGAGCCCGCGUUGGAUUAGCUAGUUGGUGGGGUAAAGGCCUACCAAGGCGACGAUCCAUAGCUGGUCUGAGAGGAUGAUCAGCCACACUGGGACUGAGACACGGCCCAGACUCCUACGGGAGGCAGCAGUGGGGAAUAUUGGACAAUGGGCGCAAGCCUGAUCCAGCCAUGCCGCGUGAGUGAUGAAGGCCCUAGGGUUGUAAAGCUCUUUCACCGGUGAAGAUAAUGACGGUAACCGGAGAAGAAGCCCCGGCUAACUUCGUGCCAGCCGCCGCGGUAACAC
rnacentral:rRNA from 1 species